UACGAAGGGGGCUAGCGUUGCUCGGAAUCACUGGGCGUAAAGCGCACGUAGGCGGCUUUUUAAGUCAGGGGUGAAAUCCUGGAGCUCAACUCCAGAACUGCCUUUGAUACUGGCGAUCUCGAGUCCGGGAGAGGUGAGUGGAACUGCGAGUGUAGAGGUGAAAUUCGUAGAUAUUCGCAAGAACACCAGUGGCGAAGGCGGCUCACUGGCCCGGUACUGACGCUGAGGUGCGAAAGCGUGGGAGCAAACAGG
rnacentral:rRNA from 1 species